AUCCAGGGCCACGCAGCAACCAAGCAAUGAGAAAAUAUCCCACUAUGUGAUCCCAGUCUGGGAUCAUAUUUAGGAUGAGAGAACAUGCAUUAGUUACCUACCAACUUGACAGGAAUGGAUUCCAAAUUUGACAUGCCAUAGCCUCACUUCUCACCAGUGUGCUCCUAGAAUGAUGAGCCCAUGCUGCAUGAGCCCCUGCCACUCUUCUGAAUAAGCUUCCAGGCAUUACCUGCAUGCUGUGUUCCUGUGGAGGGAUGGCAGUAAUCUCUGCUAAGAUAAACGGGAGCUUCUGUGGAUAGAGCAUAAACCUAGUGAAGUGUGUGUGGCUGUAAGAUUUAAUGCCUCUACAGUGCUUAGAUACAAGUUGAACUUGGAAUUCCAGAGGUAGAGCACUGCAGAUUGGAGGCAUAUUAAGGAAAAUGUACGGUGGAAAUGAGAUAAAACCUUUAUUCUUGCCAUUGAUUGUCAUUCUUGUAUGCAUACAGGUGUCUAACAAAGGGUUUGAGAAUAAAAUAUGCCUGUUUAAUGUUUUCCACCUUUCUUAAAGCCCUCAAUGAAUUGCAAAGAGCCUAUUUGGAAUGGACUGUGUUAAAUCUACUCCUGUCAAGUGAAAACCUU